rnacentral:rRNA from 2 species
AACGUAGGAGGCGAGCGUUAUCCGGAUUCACUGGGCGUAAAGCGCAUGUAGGUGGCUGUGCAAGUCGCAGGUGAAAGCCCCUGGCUUAACUGGGGGAGGUUCUGCGAAACUGUGCGGCUUGAGGGCUGGAGAGGAAGGUGGAAUUCCCGGUGUAGCGGUGGAAUGCGUAGAGAUCGGGAGGAACACCAGUGGCGAAAGCGACCUUCUGGCCAGCGCCUGACACUGAGAUGCGAAAGCGUGGGGAGCAAACGGG